UCGCCUUCGAGGUGGAUGUGGA
rnacentral:siRNA from 1 species